rnacentral:lncRNA from 1 species
CCUCUCUUUCUUGUAGCCAAAGCUGAGCAAUGUGGUAGUCAAGCUAAUGGAGCUCUUUGCCCAAAUGGGCUAUGUUGCAGCAAAUUUGGUUUUUGUGGCAACACUGAUCAAUAUUGUGGAGAUGGUUGUCAGAGCCAAUGUAAAUCUUCUCCGACACCGAACCCACCAACACCUAGUACAGGUGGUGGUGGAGAUGUUGGAAGUAUUAUUCCAUCAUCUUUGUUUGAUCAAAUGCUUAAAUAUCGAAAUGAUCAACGUUGUGCUGGUCAUGGAUUUUAUACCUACGAUGGUUUCAUCGCUGCAGCUAGAUCUUUUAAUGGAUUUGGUACCACUGGUGAUGAUGCCACCCGUAAGAAGGAACUUGCUGCUUUUUUGGCUCAAACUUCUCAUGAAACCACCGGUAUAUUUGUUAUUCUAUUUUCGUAUUUAGAUAAUUGGAUAUAUUUAAUUAUAUGGAGAGAAAGGAAAAAUUGAUUCAUAUUUAAAUAAUAUAUAUAUUAACGUUAAAUUAAAUAAGUAAUAUAAUUAUCUUAAUACACCAACAAACUAUAAUACCAAUGAGUUUAAUGGUCUUUUUAAUUAAAUAGACUUCAAGUCUUAGUAUUCUCUAUUUUUUCCAAAUCUAACCUAAACUUCACAUAGACUAUAUCGUAUUCCCUGUUAGUCGAGCUUGGUCUAUUCUUACUACAUUGUGAAGAUAAUAAGCCAACUAUUUUAUCUAAUUGAAUUAGAUAAUUUAAUCCCUUUGUUUUUAAUAAAAUAUUAAGAAAAUAAUUUCUUUUUUGCUAAUAGAAAUAUAGGGUAAAGAGAUGGACUAGGGUCCUAGACAAUGAAGAUUUUAUAUGAUUGAAAGAAUAUACCUCCCUUCAAAAGGUAGCAAGGGCUCGAACCCGGAAUACUUUGAGUCCGGAACAUACAUGUCUUUUUACUAUUGGAUCAAACUUAUGAAGUAUGUUAAACAUCAUAAGUGAUAUAAGAUCUCUUUUAAACUAAAAUAGUCUCCUAAGAUAUUUAAUGAAUUUUGAAUGCCGUACAGAUUUAUAAAUACAGUUUUUUUAGGGUGAUCUAUAUAUAAAUAGAGUUAUUCUCUUGAUCUCUCUUUUUUACAGGGGUAUUCUCUUGAUCUCUUAUCAUUAGAAAUUUUACAUGAUUUUUUUAUUUUCAAAAUUAAUUUAUGAUAACGUAAUGAGUUAGAUUUUCGUUAUUAAUGUGCGAGAUCGUACGUUGAACUGAUUUCCAUGAAACCACACGUUUGUUGGUAAGUGUCGGUAUAGAUAAUCAGAUAUAUUUACAUGUCAUAUUCAUACAUUUAAAUUCAUGAAAAAAGUCACGAUUAAUCUUGUUUGUGUGGCAAAACCAUAGAGGAUAAAAUUAACUGAUGUUUAUGAACAUGCAGGAGGGUGGCCAAGUGCACCAGACGGACCAUAUGCGUGGGGAUAUUGCUUUGUCACCGAAAAGGAUGCCCAAGGAGACUUUUGUUCACCCGGAGAUUGGCCAUGUGCUCCUGGUAAAAGAUACUAUGGCAGAGGACCUAUUCAACUCACUCAGUAAGUUUCUUUCACCUAGCAUUUUAAACAACCCCAUCUAAAUCUCUAAUGACAUAAAAGAGAAAGUUUAGAGGAAUGAUAAUUGUGCAAUUAUUUUUUGACAAUUUUUGUGUCAAUAUUUUUUUCUCUUUUCUUAUCCGACAAAAACAAUAGAGCAAGAAAAAAAAAAGAGUGAGACUACAAUGAGAAAGAGUUAUUAAAAAAUUAUUAAAAAUAUCGUUUCACAAAGAUUUACUUAUUCAUCGUCGACCCAACCCACACAUCUUCUUUCUUUUGAUUUCUCCUCUCACUCUAUGUUUUGUGACUUAGAUGGUGGAUGGGGUGUUUAAAUGUCAUCACCUGAUACAAAACAUGGAGAGAGACAUAGGAGAAAUUAAGAGAGAGAAGAAGAGUGGAUUGAACGGAUGGGGUGUCCAACAAAAAAAAAAAUCUCUUAAUUAAUUAGAUCGAUGACAUCCUUUUAAGCAUUAUUAUCAAUUACAUGUAAGUCCUGUCUAGUUACUCCCUCUGUCAUUAUUUAUAAGAACAUCCAACAAAAAUCACAGGAAUUAAGGAAAGUUGUAGGAGCAAUAAAUUUGUCUGAAAUAUGUGAGUAUUACAACAUGAGUUAUGUUACCUUUAUGACAUAUGUUAAGGAUUUCAUCAAUUGUAAAUAUUUAUUUUAAAGCAUUAAUUUUCAAUAUCUAAAAGGAUAAAUUGACACAAUUUCUUAAAUAAAAUUUCUACAUUAGGUUCCUUAACAUGUGCCCUAAGAACACAAGUUAAAAUUUCCUUUAGGACUAUUUUUUAUGCUGGAGUGUAUUGUGACUAUAUUUAACUUAUAAUUUUGGUGUACUACAUGACUGUUUUUAAGUGCUUUAGUGGACUAAUGCAACGUUGACCCUUGUUCACAGCAAUUACAAUUACGGUCAAGCGGGUAAAGCUAUUAAUGAAGAUUUGAUAAACAAUCCGGAUCUAGUCUCCACAAACCCAACUGUAUCAUUCAAGACAGCUAUAUGGUUUUGGAUGACCCCUCAAGCAAACAAGCCAUCAAGCCAUGAUGUGAUUACCGGAAGAUGGACGCCAUCUGCUGCUGACAGCUCAGCAGGGCGGGUCCCCGGAUACGGCGUGAUCACCAACAUAAUCAACGGCGGGCUCGAAUGCGGGCACGGUCAGGAUCCUAAAGUCGAGGAUCGGGUCGGAUUUUAUAGAAGGUAUUGUCAAAUAUUGGGAGUGAACCCCGGCAAUAACUUGGAUUGUAACAACCAAAGGCCAUUUGCCUAAGCGAAGUACCUAUGUUAAUGUUGUAAUAUAAAGUAUAAUAAAGGGAUCACAAUGAAUGAUCCUAUAUGUAACUGGAAUCUUCUUGCUAAAUAAAACGGCUUCAAUAUAGUUCAAAUAAAAUAAUUUAGUAUUUUUAUCAUCAUUUAUGACUAAAAAGCUAGAUGUAUAGGCUAUGAUGAUAUGUGGUACGAAUGCAGGUACGAUACGAUAUGGGCACGUUCAUAUGCAAAAUUUUGAAAAUUUAGGAGAUGAUACGACUAAAAUACGUUAAUAAAAUUUGUAUACUAAAACUUAUAUGCAUGUAAAAUACUUGAAGAAAAUAAGCAUUGAUUAAUCUUUAUGAUUAUAUUAUUAUAAAAGUCAACAACUUUUUAAAAAUAAUAUAUAUAUAUAUAUAUAUAUAUAUAUAUAUAUAUAUAUAUAUAUAUAUAUAUAUAUAUAUAUGAUCGAAAUAAAAAAAUGUAAAGUUUUCAUAUAAAUCAUAUUAUAUUUUCAUUCAUAUGUUAAGAUAUCCACAGAAACAUCAUUAAAAGAACUCAACACAAAUUUUGUCUAAUCUUGAUUAUUUGAAUCUCAUCUCUCUUGUUACCCCUCAUCCAUAAGAAAUAUAUAUAAUUUUAAGUGGUUCAUCAAAAAACAAUUCUAUUAAUACAUAUCUAAUAAUUGAAUCAUAUACAUCUGCGCUGAAUUUUUACAAUAUUGUCUCACUCUUUUAUCCUCCAUCUUUUCUAGGUUAUGUAUAUCUAAAUUAUCUUAUAAGCAACAUUGUGUAUAUGUUUUCAACCCUAUAAGUAUUUAAUAAAAUAUUUUUUAAUAUUAAAAUAAUUAAUUCAAAUACUUCAUAGGUACGUAAUCUGCGAGUACCCGAAGAUAUCAAUAUUCUAUACGGGUACGUCUUCCUCUCUUGACCCCCUCACACAGAUGUGACAUGUGUUCAAGUGCCCUCCACGCACAUAGUGAACAACUUUGUCUCUCACCCUCUUAUCUCUUCUCUCUCUUCCUUCACCCAUUCUCCCUCACCGACCACCAUCUAAUUCGAUCAAAAAAAAAUUUUGAUUUGCCUUGAAUUGGUUUUCGGUUUUCAUUAUUGUACUUUUUUCCUUUCAUUUUUUAAGAAAAUAUAUUAUUCUAUGACAUUUCAUAAAAAAGUAAAGUUACAAAGAAGAUGAAUAAGUAUAAAAUAAAAACAAUAAAGAAUCAUAAAUUAAUAAUAUUUCUUAAAAGAAGGAAAAAAUCAAUACUUUUAAAGAACAAGUCUAGAAAAUAGUUACAUAAUCGUAAAUAAAGAAAUAUUUAUAAAAAAUUCAUACAAUAAUAUAUAUAGAAGUAUAAAUAUUUCGGUUUGGAUUGGAUUAGAUCGGUUUAUAUACUAUGUGAGCUGAAAACCAAUCCAAUCCAUUUAAAAUUGUGGAUUUUUUUACGGUUUUUCAGUUUUCGGUUUUGUUUGAUUUUUUAUUUUUUGGUUCGGUUACUGCGGUUUACAUUGAAUUGGAUUGGACAUGAAUACCUACAUCCACAAGAUAGGGCAAUACUAUAUCAUCUCUAAUUUUUAGAAAAUAUAUUAGAUACCGUUUCAACAAAAUUCUAGAAUAUUGUAAUGCUUAACCAGUUUUUAUCCUAUGGAAGCAUAUUUUAUGUUCACCACAUUAGUUGGCAUAAAAGUCGUGGUUUGAAUUCAUCAAAGUCUUCAACACCACGGCAAGGACAAUAAGGACAAAUAACUAAAUGAUAUAUAUAUAUGUAUGUAUUUUUUUUUUGAAGGAAUAUGUAUGUAUGUAUAUUUAUAAAAUAAUAAUAAUAUGUAAAGACUUGACCAGAAAAAAAAAAUGUAAAUGAAUUUUAUUUGAGAUUAUGACUAUAUAAAUAUUUCUCGCUUAUGAUUGUAAGUAGUUUAGAUUCUUGAGGUGUUAGAAAUAUUUCUCGUAUAGUCACACUUAGUAGGUUUUUUGACACUUCUAGUGCGCAGAAAAUUUGGACACCAUAAGUCUAGUGCGCAGAAAGCAGCCAAUUUUGAAAAUAAGACAUAAAAAAUAAUUAAUCCCAAUAAUGCUCAUCUAUAAAUAGACAUCUUUCUUAAUUCAUCAUGCACACACCAAACUGAAUUAACACUCUUCACUAAUGGCAAGUACAAAAUUAUCUUGCUUGAUACUAUGUUUGCUACCUCUCUUUCUUGGAUCAAAAGCAGAACAAUGUGGUAGUCAAGCUAAUAGAGCUGUUUGUCCAAAUGGGCUAUGUUGUAGCAAAUUUGGUUGGUGUGGCACCACUGAUCAAUAUUGUGGAGCUGGUUGUCAGAGCCAGUGUAGAUCUUCUUCAACACCGACACCAUCGACACCAACACCUGGUACCGGUGGUGGUGGAGAUGUUGGAAGGCUUGUGCCUUCUUUUCUGUUUGAUCAAAUGCUUAAAUAUCGAAAUGAUGCACGAUGCCCUGGGCAUGGAUUUUAUACCUACGAUGGUUUCAUUGCCGCGACUAGAUCUUUUAAUGGAUUUGGUACUACUGGUGAUGAUACCACCCGUAAGAGGGAGCUCGCUGCUUUCUUGGCUCAAACUUCUCAUGAAACCACCGGUAUAUAUAUAUAUUCCUCGUCUAUUUUUUGUUUAGAUAAUUGGUUAUGUCAACUUUGUAUAGAGUAUACUUAAUUUUGAAUUUUGUACACUUGAGAGACAAUAUUGAGGCUGACCAGACCAAAUAUUUCAAGGUUUAACCAUGACUAUAUAUCUUUAAUUUAUCA